UGGGGAAUAUUGCACAAUGGGGGAAACCCUGAUGCAGCGACGCCGCGUGAGCGAUGAAGGCUUUCGAGUCGUAAAGCUCUGUCCUAUGGGAAGAUAAUGACGGUACUAUAGAAGAAAGCCCCGGCUAAUUACGUGCCAGCAGCCGCGGUAAUACGUAAGGGGCGAGCGUUGUCCGGAAUUAUUGGGCGUAAAGAGUGCGUAGGCGGCAAAUUAAGUCAGAUGUGAAAACUAAGGGCUCAACCCAUAGAUUGCAUCUGAAACUGAUAUGCUUGAGUCAAGGAGAGGAAAGUGGAAUUCCUAGUGUAGCGGUGGAAUGCGUAGAUAUUAGGAGGAAUACCGGUGGCGAAGGCGACUUUCUGGACUUGAACUGACGCUGAGGCACGAAAGCGUGGGGAGCAAACAGG
rnacentral:rRNA from 1 species